rnacentral:rRNA from 1 species
UACGUAGGGGGCAAGCGUUGUCCGGAAUCAUUGGGCGUAAAGAGCGUGUAGGCGGCCCGAUAAGUCCGCCGUGAAAGUCCAGGGCUCAACCCUGGAAUGCCGGUGGAAACUGUCGGGCUGGAGUCCGGAAGAGGCGAGUGGAAUUCUUGGUGUAGCAGUGAAAUGCGUAGAUAUCAAGAGGAACACCAGUGGCGAAGGCGAGUCCCUGGACAAUACCUGACACUGAGGCACGAAAGCCAAGGGAGCAAACAGG